rnacentral:rRNA from 1 species
UACGUAGGGUGCAAGCGUUUAUCCGGAAUUAUUGGGCGUAAAGAGCUCGUAGGCGGUUUUGUCGCGUCUGCUGUGAAAACUGGGGGCUCAACCCCCAGCCUGCAGUGGGUACGGGCAGACUAGAGUGCGGUAGGGGAGAUUGGAAUUCCUGGUGUAGCGGUGGAAUGCGCAGAUAUCAGGAGGAACACCGAUGGCGAAGGCAGAUCUCUGGGCCGUAACUGACGCUGAGGAGCGAAAGCAUGGGGAGCGAACAGG